ensembl:snRNA U6 U6 spliceosomal RNA
GUGCUUUUUUCGGCAGCGUAUAUACUAAAAUUGCAAUGAUACAGAGAAAAUUAGCAUGGCACCUGGGUAAGGAUGAUAGGAAAACUCAUGAAGUAUUCCAUAUUUUU